AUUGAACGCUGGCGGCAGGCUUAACACAUGCAAGUCGAACGGUAACAUAAGAAAAGCUUGCUUUUUUUGAUGACGAGUGGCGGACGGGUGAGUAAUGCUUGGGAAUCUGCCUUAUGGAGGGGGAUAACUACGGGAAACUGUAGCUAAUACCGCAUAAUAUCUACGGAUUAAAGUGUGGGAUCUUCGGACCACAUACCAUAAGAUGAGCCCAAGUGAGAUUAGGUAGUUGGUGAGGUAAAGGCUCACCAAGCUGACGAUCUCUAGCUGGUUUGAGAGGAUGACCAGCCACACUGGGACUGAGACACGGCCCAGACUCCUACGGGAGGCAGCAGUGGGGAAUAUUGCACAAUGGGCGCAAGCCUGAUGCAGCCAUGUCGCGUGAAUGAAGAAGGCUUUCGGGUUGUAAAGUUCUUUCAUUAGUGAGAAAGGUAUAAAUGUUAAUAGCAUUUGUAAUUGAUGUUAGCUAAAGAAGAAGCACCGGCUAACUCCGUGCCAGCAGCCGCGGUAAUACGGAGGGUGCGAGCGUUAAUCGGAAUAACUGGGCGUAAAGGGCAUGCAGGCGGUUACUUAAGUCAGAUGUGAAAGCCCCGAGCUUAACUUGGGAAUUGCAUUUGAAACUGGGUGACUAGAGUCCUCUAGGGAGGGGUAGAAUUCCACGUGUAGCGGUGAAAUGCGUAGAGAUGUGGAGGAAUAUCGAAGGCGAAGGCAGCCCCUUGGAGAGAGACUGACGCUCAUAUGCGAAAGCGUGGGUAGCAAACAGG
rnacentral:rRNA from 1 species